rnacentral:lncRNA from 1 species
CAGAGACUGUAUAGGUUCAAUCCUCUGUAUAUAAAACAAAUGAGUGAGAGAGGGAGGAAUGGAAACAUGCAGUUUUAGACUAUCCUUUUUUACCCAGCAUAAUUAUCUAGAAUGUUUUAAGUAUCAAUGGUACUCUUCUUUUUUUUUUUUUUUUUUUUCCUUAUCGGUUGGGGACUGAACCCAGGGCCUUGCGCUUGCUAGGCAAGCGCUCUACCACUGAGCUAAAUCCCCAACCCAAUGGUACUCUUCUUCCUUCUCUUCUCCUGUUUUUUGUUUUGUUUUGUUUUUUUCUUUGUUUUUUGAGACAAGGUCUUCCUACGUAGUCCUGGCUGCCUAGAACUUGCUGUGUAGAGCAAGCUAGCUAUGGAUUCAAAGA